GACGAACGCUGGCGGCGUGCCUAAUACAUGCAAGUCGAGGGCAGGAAACUGACGGAACUCUUCGGAGGGAAGGCAGUGGAAUGAGCGGCGGACGGGUGAGUAACACGUAAGGAACCUGCCUCAAGGAUUGGGAUAACUCCGAGAAAUCGGAGCUAAUACCGGAUAGUUCAACGGACCGCAUGGUCCGCUGAUGAAAGGCGCUCCGGCGUCACCUUGAGAUGGCCUUGCGGUGCAUUAGCUAGUUGGUGGGGUAACGGCCCACCAAGGCGACGAUGCAAAGCGGAGCUGGGAGGGUGAUCGGCCACACUGGGACUGAGACACGGCCCAGACUCCUACGGGAGGCAGCAGUAGGGAAUCUUCCACAAUGGACGAAAGUCUGAUGGAGCAACGCCGCGUGAGUGAUGAAGGUUUUCGGAUCGUAAAACUCUGUUGUAAGGGAAGAACACGUACGAGAGGGAAUGCUCGUACCUUGACGGUACCUUACGAGAAAGCCACGGCUAACUACGUGCCAGCAGCCGCCGUAAUAC
rnacentral:rRNA from 1 species